rnacentral:lncRNA from 1 species
AUAUGUUAUAAAUCAUGUCACAAAACCACAUCAAAUUACAGUAAAUCAUCAUUUUGAAGACUCCAACAAAACUAUCAUGCUGCCCCGCAGUAAAGUUAUUCAUGUUAAGUUGAAAAGAUAUAGUAUUGUCAUACUUUUUCACUUUACUUGAAAUUAUAUCAUAUGAUAAUGUGUGCUUGUGUAUUAUAUAACACUUUGUUUCCCAGUGAACAUUGAACCUUUUUCAAAAUCCGAAUCAAUGUAUGUAGUUGUCACGAGUUUGUCACCGGAAACAUGGCCAUUUUGGUCCUUACUUGAUCUAUUAUCCCCUAAAGAAUCAAGCGAUCCUGACCGUUUUACUACCAUUCGUUUAGACUUAGCUCUCUCCUUCCGUAAGUUCCGACUGAAAUAAAGAAUAUUUUAUA